UGGGGAAUCAUGGUCAAUGGGCGAAAGCCUGAACCUGCGACGCCGCGUGAGUGAUGAAGGUCGUAAGAUCGUAAAACUCUUUUCAGGGAUCUUAAAGCCUGUCUGUCAACAACAGGCAGAUCUGACUCUCCCUGGAAGAAGCCCCAGCCAACUACGUGCCAGCAGCUGCGGUAAUACGGAGGGGGCGAGCGUUAUUCGGAAUUACUGGGGGUAAAGGGUAUGUAGGCGGCCCUUCAAGUCGCGUGUCAAAGUCC
rnacentral:rRNA from 1 species